rnacentral:rRNA from 1 species
AUUGAACGCUGGCGGCAGGCCUAACACAUGCAAGUCGAGCGGAUGAAGGGAGCUUGCUCCUGGAUUCAGCGGCGGACGGGUGAGUAAUGCCUAGGAAUCUGCCUGGUAGUGGGGGAUAACGUCCGGAAACGGGCGCUAAUACCGCAUACGUCCUGAGGGAGAAAGUGGGGGAUCUUCGGACCUCACGCUAUCAGAUGAGCCUAGGUCGGAUUAGCUAGUUGGUGGGGUAAAGGCCCACCAAGGCGACGAUCCGUAACUGGUCUGAGAGGAUGAUCAGUCACACUGGAACUGAGGCACGGUCCAGACUCCUACGGGAGGCAGCAGUGGGGAAUAUUGGACAAUGGGCGAAAGCCUGAUCCAGCCAUGCCGCGUGUGUGAAGAAGGUCUUCGGAUUGUAAAGCACUUUAAGUUGGGAGGAAGGGCAGUAAGUUAAUACCUUGCUGUUUUGACGUUACCAACAGAAUAAGCACCGGCUAACUUCGUG